AAAAAGAAAGAAAGAAAAGAAAACCACAACACCAACCUCUGAAAAGUCAGACCCAAUCUAAUCCAAUCUAAUGAAAUGAAAUGAACCUAAGGCACAUCCACACCACAGGUCAUCUUAAAGAGGCCCACAGAAUAAGACAUGAUAUGAUUAAAUUGAAAAAUAGUCAAUCAACUGAAUUGUGUCUAAUUUACUAGCUUGCAAGUUCCAGACAAAAAUGAACAAAUCAAGACAUACUACCCUGUAUAUGUUAUCUCAUUUAGGAGCUCAGACCUUCAAAGAAGGUCACUUUUUUUUUUUUUAACCUAACCCACAACUCUACUUGAAGUUAGUAUUGCACUUGAUUCUGAUGUUCUCUGGAAUAUCAGUGCUCCAUUGGCAUUUAGUAUUUCAACAGCUGAGUUAUUAUAUUAUCCUGUUUCUAAAAAAAAAUCAUUUCUUGCAUUGACUAUACUGAUUCUUUUCCUUCUCAUUUCUAAAUUAUAAAUCAACUUCAGCUCAUUAGGGAUAUUAUCAGUAGCUUAUUGUUACCUUUCUCAGUGUACUUUUGAAUACCAGCAUUCCCCGGCCACAAGGGAUAGCAUAUUAAGUGCUGUUCAGACAUUUGAACAUAAUAUACUCCCUUUCUAAUGCUUCCGUUGUAUUACUAGUAUGAUAAUUAUUACAGCAAAUGAUAAAAUACUGCAAAAUUGUUUUCGCCCCCCUUAAUAACAUAAAUAAAAGGAGCAAUUAAUUUCCUACAAUAAAAACAGGCAAUACAAUAACGUACAAAUGUGGAGUUUCUUCAUUAUUGCAUCAAAUUGCAAAACGGAAACAUAUAAUUUCAAAAGGCUCAUAAGCGAAAAUGGAAACACAGCUGAUGUUGCGUCAGCAUAUAGUACAAAACUGUGGAGCUUGCACAGCUCACAGAUAGUCUCCUCUAAAUGAAAAUGCAUAACACAAAGAUCUUUUUCCUUUUCUUAGACCUCAGCUCCAGAAUUCUAGGUAUUUUUCCAGGUUGUUACUUUACUUUUACAUAUCCAUCCAAUACUAUAAACCUAUAGCAUCACCACUUAUUUUGAAGCCCUGCUAUCAUGCACAGCAAAGCUACAGCUUUAUCAGUGCAUCUCGUGACAGAUGGCAAUAGUAUUUCCAAAUGGAAUCAAUACACUUAUGUACUGAUACACCUCCCAGUACACCCCACGUAUUUGCCAGAAGCAUUUUAAGCAUUCUUUAGUUCACUGGUAUUUUGGUUGGUUUGGUUUUACGUUGUUGAGAAAAGGCAACACAUUUUCUUUGACAUCUCAUGCAAUUUUACAUGUAUUCAGGGCACAUUCCCUGCUUUGCAUGGAAAAUGUAUUUGCACAGUUGUCAGAAUGAUGGACAGGGGGAGAAUGAUAAGAAGGAGCACUGAUCUUUGCUUGUUAUUACAUACAAUAGCCCAGUAGGAAUCAUGAUGUGUUGGUGAGACAAACUGUGUCCCAUUCUGGAACAUAUUAAGUUUGUCUCCAGGACACACAUGACUUCACUAGGGUGUCUAACCUCAUUCAUAAUAGAUGCUAAUCUUUUCAGGGCUGACUGAUGACAGCACUUCCUGCCCUUCACGGAAUUAGAGCUGGGUUUUAUCAAAGGACUCAAACUGCCUGCUAAUUAGACUAAUUCCCUUCAUCAUGAAUUAUUUAUUUCCAUUGGUAACCGAUCACUGUGACAUUAAUGGGUUCUGCUCAACUUAGUUUCAUACUAAUAUACACUAUAAGUUAAAUGUUUAAAAACUCCUGAUACUUCACUUCAGGUCAAGUGUGUCUUCAUAUAACUCUUGAUGUUUUCAGCAAAGUUUUGACAAUUAAAGACCAUCAGAAUAAAGUGCUCACUGCAAAGGAAAAAAAAAAAAAAAAGAAGAAGAAGAAGAAGAAGAAGAAAGAAAAGGAACAAUUUUUAAAUUCUAAAAUCAAAGUGGUUUACCCACCUUCUCCCCAGAAGUAGAGAUAAUAUAUAGAACUUCACUGAAGAUUAAUAAAAAGAGCAUUUUACUGAAUUGAUGAUGGUACUUCACUGCAAUUCAAAGAACCAAAUACAUACCCUUAGCCAGAGUGUUGUGCCUCACACUGUGCAAGAAGUUUGUAGAAGACUGUAGUAUCAAGACUAAAUCCUAAACUUAGGUAGCAAGUGUCAAAUAUGCAAAUACAAAAUAAAGAAUACCUGGACAGACAGUAGCAGUGCAUACCAGAGUCAGGUGGAGAAUGCCAAAGGUAAAGAAGGGGCCAUAACAGGAAAAACAAAAGGCAAUCGUUCUGGAAUGUCUUAGCAGCAGGAUCUGAGCAGGGCACCAGAGGUCAUCCAUGUAAUACUUAGAAAAUCUCAGCAAGAAAACUGAUGGCCAGUUCUUGGCUUCACUCUUCAAAAGCUGUAUUGACUACUUCUUUUCUACUGAACUCCAUAAGAGUGCAACAAAAACUUAGAGCAAUUUAAAAAACUUGAUCAAUGGGAAAAAAUGAAAACACUGCUCAGAAAAGAGAUGAUACUAUGAUGAAACCUGCACUUACACAGGGAGAUGCUGUGGUUAGGCUAGGGGUGUGUUUUUUCAAUGUCCAUCACAAGCAGAACAAGAAAUAAUCAUUUCAGACUGAAGUCAUGAAGAUUUUGCUGAGAAACUGAGAAAAGUAUUCCUGCCUGUGAGGACAAAGAAUCACAUGAUCAAUUUAAACAAGUAGGUGGUCAAAGGGAUUUUGGCCUAGGAAGGCAGGUCACUGUCAGGGUAGGCUAAGGUGUAUGUGAAACCACCUCUGUCACAAAAAAUAUUCUAGAAGUCACAAAGAAACAUCAGAAACACCUUCAAUUUUUGUUUUUUCUGUCGUUUGUUUCUAAAUAAGAAACCCUCCAAUAGGAAAGAUGUAACCAUGUGAAUAUUUUUCAGUGUUUAUUUCAUGAGCAGUAUAUACAGGACAACAAUCUUUAUAACUUAACUGUUGGCCUCUUCCAUUGCCAUCACAGACUGUGAACCCACAUUAUGUCUUUGAUGCAAUUAAUUCAUGCAGCUUUUUUGAUACCAGAACAGGGUAGUGCAGUUCAGCAUGUGUAUUUUACAAUGACAUUUGCUAUGCACCUGAACUCUUCAAAGAUAAGCCUGAAAGAGACAAGAUACUAUUUGGUCACAGAUUUCACCUUUGAAUCUCCUCUAUUUUAGCAAAACGGAAUGACUUUAUGCACACUGCAAGGCUGGGCUCAGACUUUCAUGCAUACUCAUGAAUAAAUGAUGCAUAUUCCUACUCAUUUCACAAAACAGGCUUUACUCCAGCUUGAUUAUUCUGUCUGUGAAAUACAAGAGAAAUGCAUACAACUCAGAAGGAUCAAUAAGAGGCUUUUUCGGGGUAAUUUUUGUACUGAUAAAGUGAGCUUAAAAUAAUAAACAGCGGAAGACAGCUGGACAGAAUAGUCUGUAUCACUUAGCCUAAUGAAGUCUUGGACUACAGUAUAUUUGACAAACUGUCUUUCAUGUGACAGCUGUAAGUGAACACAUAUCUUUCUAAUCCAUAGUGAUGACAAAGAAGUUAGGUAAAAAUGAACAGAGAUGAUAUUCAAUAAGCACAUGUACAUUUCUAUCACAGUGUGAGAUACUUUGGCUGUGAAAAUAAAGGUGUUAUUUUUCCACUGUUGAAAUAAUACAGAAUCAAUGAAAGGUAGCUGUGAGUCUCAAUUGGAAUCAAGGGGUUUCUGUUGACAUUCACAAACCAAAUGAGCAGAGCUCUGCUGGAUUGAGAUGUCAUCAGAAACCCCAAGAUGGCAUCAGAGACCUUGUUUUUCUAAGUUGUGUGGCUUUUUGCAAUAAACACAUUCAACUGACUUUUAAUUUUAAUUAAGAAGUCAGUUUAUGAUUUCUUACCUUUUUACCUCUUUGUCUGUUUUCUAGGUUAUCUCCCCUGCUCUGCCUUCCUUCCACCUUUUUGCUCCUUCUCCCUCCCGCCCCAACCACCUUCUUCUUGCCUUUCUUCCUUUUCUCAUCUACCUUCUCUCUUUCCUGGUUCUCUGACAACCCAAAUCAAAACAUUUCUGGAAUGGGUCAUUCUGCUCCGUGCAUUAGCAGCGCUCCCUAAUGUCAUUUUCACAGUACAAGCUGCUCCUCCAGCACUGUGGAGAGACUACCCUAUUAAGACAACAGAAUGUCACUCAUGUACCACUCUCUCUUGUUUGUACAGAAUAAGAGACUUCAAGUAGCUCCUGAUACAGCGGUAUAAAAUAGCUUUUAUUUCAGUGCUAAUAAUACCUGAUACUUGCACAGGACUUCCAGUUGUUGUUCUGAAAUCAUUUCAUAAGUGUUAAUGAAUUAUGUCUCAAAAGUAUGCUCUGACAAACAGGUUAUUCCCAUGUCACAGAUGGAGAUAACUGAGGAAAAAAGACAGGGGUAAUUUGUUUUUACAAAGUCUUUCAGGGCCCUAAUCUUCACUGUUCUAUUUGAAGUGUUUUUAUCAGUGGCUUCAAGACACUAUUGUGUAAAUAAAAUCAAAAAGCACUAAAAUGUUUCAAGUAUUGAUCCUCUAAUAAGGAGCCAUCCUUUCUCUUUAUAAGAUUGUAUGGGAAACUGUUGAUCACAGCCUGAACCUCUGAUUAACCAUCUGAGUCAAGGGAUGGGUCAGCCACAGGAGCACAGGUGAAGGUAAUUCUGCUGUGCUCCUGGAAGGGGUGGAGCUUGGCUGCACCCCUCCUAGAUCUCAUUUAAGGGCUGACUACCAGUAAGGCAGGUUCUUUUUCUGGAGAUUGUUCCUGUGUGGAGUUCUGCAGCGAGCCUUCGCAUCAGCAAGCAUCUAUCCUUACCAUGAGCCUCAACAUCAGAUCAUUAAGUUUUCCAGUAAAAUGCGGGAAUUGCAGAAAGUAUGGACAAUAAUUACAUAGAAUAAAAGAAAAGCAGUAAAACAAUCUGGCUGGGGGAUGGGGGAGUAGUAAGAAGAAACAAGCAACAAAAUCAGCUUGAUUCAAAAGGCAGAAAGAAAGCAAGAAAAUGAUUACAGCUGAACAAGAUGUUUUCUCUUCUACGCCUUUCCUUUGUUGACGCGGAGGACUAAUGCCUUUCUCUGACAGUUUCAACCACACUCUUCCAAUUCUGUCCUCCAAGCAUGGGGUUCUGCACUCAAGUGCUAUCCUGCCAUGAAGAUUGCCAUAUUGAAUGCACUUCUGGAAAUGUCAGGAAAAUGUCCUCAAUUGCUACAUAUCAAAACAUCUGUAUUUCACAUGCAAGAGGAACACUGUGAACACAUCUGUUCCUAAAGCAAAACUAAAAAACUAAAAAAAUAUGAUGCCACGGGCUUUAAGAUUUUGAUUAUGAUGUACCUGCAGAGUUAAUGAGAAGCAAUGUUGUGUUACUUCAGAACAAAAGCUAGUUACAGAUAAACCGUGAUAGUAGAAACUCAGUAGGAGCCAGGAGACAUUGUCACUAAGCAUUUAGGUUUCACCCAACCUGUUGUCUGGUACCAUAUUACCUCUGUCAGACAGGAGAUUCCCAGCGCACGCUGCAAUUCAGAAAGACAAAAAACUGGGAUCCUCUGCCUCUCAAUGAGUUUCUUUCAAUACUACAGCCUUCAUGUCCUGCCUGGGAUGCACAACAUCUGACGUGGACCCUGCUUUAUAUUGGGAAUGUGUGGCACAGGGUUCUGAUGCUGGUCUAAACAUUCACUGGCCAGUUGCAGUAACCAUUGAAAGAUGGUGAAGAGGGCACGAGAGACCUCAGGUACAACCAAGUUUUAGAAAAAGAACUAUAAGCAACAGGCAAUGAGACUAUUCUCCUUUCAUCCUCGGUGAACAGACACCAGAUUACUCACACAUAUAGUCAGAAGACAACAGUGGCUUCUGCAUACCAUUUCCAGGAGGCCAGCUACAAGACCACUUGAAUUGCAUCUUUCCUCUGCAGACAGCUAAGAAGAGUAUAAAAUGAAACACAGAUUUUUGUGAUGGUUUUCCAUUUCACCUCAUCACCUUUCCUGGAGGGGGUUCAACCACAAACUAUGAGAUUAUUUAUCUCAGACACUUUCCCAUUUUAUAUUAUCUAUAUACAGUUGGCAUAGUUUUGCUCUCCUUUCAUUAAACUACAUUCUCCUUUUGUGUGUUUCCUAGUGAUUCCUAAUACUCCAGUGGUCUUCAUCAUAACAUGCAACUGUGAGAUGGUAGAAUCUGAACAGAAAAAAAGGUACAGUCUCAUUACAAAAAAUAAACUUGAAGUAUAUUUCCUCAAGUAGGGGAGAAGAUAAUAUACUCCUAUUUUGCUUGGCCUUUUCUAUCAUAUUUAAAUAAUGUCCAUUCACACCAAGAAAGGGAAAAAAACCCCAGAGCAUUUCCACAAUAAAUAAUUCAUCUGUACAGUACAUGGUUCUAAUGCCAUCACAUCUUUUUGGUUUCCCAGUGUGUAGAUAAUAAUACUAUGUGAAACAGAGCCAAAACAGAUUUUUCCAAGUUAUCUCAUGUUAAGAAUUCCAGUUCAAAGUGCAUUCUAUAUCCAUUCAUGGAUGAGAGGUUUGUAAAAAUGUUCAAUAUCUGAGCAAAUGCAGGGUGAUUCAUGGCCAUAAAAGGACCAAGACAACAGGAACCAACACAUCACUGGAGUAAUGAAAGCAUUACCUACAAACACAUUUUUAUUCAACCACUUUUUUCCCCCUCAAAUGUGAGAAUGUCAAUUCCCAAUUAGAAACUGAAAUGUUCCUGCCAAUGACACCUGAUAUGCAGUGAUGUAAAUUCCUGGGUCAUCAAAACAUGAAUAUAUUCUCUCCAAAGCAUACGUGUUUAAUUAGCAAUUAAUGACCCAUUGUAAAAGAAGUUAUAUGAAGUUGCAUGUUUGCCAUAGGAAUGGUGAUUCCUUCUUUCUAGCCCUGCUUUGUAUGACUUUCAUCUUUGCUAUAAUCCUGUUGAAUUUCUCUUCUAGAAUGCCUCUUUAGUUCUGCAUUCUUCCCACCUUCGCCCCCAACACAGAUUAAUACUGAAUAUCAAAAGACAACAUCAUAAGAAGCACAUCAGACUUGAGACUGAAGGUGAUUUUUCCUUUGUUUCCUAUGUGUUGUUCAACUCGACCUUUUUGGGCACCCCUCAUUACUCUGUUAUUCCAAUUCUUUUUUUUUUUUUUUUUUCAUUGAUUGAUACUAGUCUGUAACAAAUUUUGUCCUUGGUUAAAGUCAAUGAAAAUGUUCCUCCUGGUUUCAGGAUUUCAUUCUGAAAGCCAGCUCUGACAUGGUUUCUACAGGAAUGGUCUGUUAAUUUUCAGUUGACAGAUUAAAGUCUUUGUCACAAAGUGCUA